rnacentral:lncRNA from 1 species
UAAGCUUGCUGAGGCCAAAAAGGAGAAUGAAAGGAUCGCCGCAGAGCUGGCCCAGGCGCAGGCGGAAAACAAGAAGGUUACUGAAGACCUCCUUCAAGCUCGUGAGACAACUGAAGAACUAAAGAAACGAGCUGAUGAGUUAGCACAGCAGACCGAGGGGCUCAAAAAGCAAACUGAAGAACUCGAGUUGAGCUCCGCCCAAAUCCUCGCUGCUGGGUUUGACGCCGCCUUGGAGCAAUUUGCCUGCCAGUACCCUGAUCUGGACCUCUCCAUGGUGUCACUAAACAACGAAGUGGUGGAUGGGAAGAUCGUUCCUUCUGAAGAUUAGCCGCUUCCCUCCAUCACUUAUUUAUUCCUCUGCUUUCUCUCUUACACACACUUACUUGUAAUAACCCUCCCUUUUUUUGUAUAUGUAUUUUGAACUGAUACCUCUUUGCUAUGAAGUUUUCUAUUUCCUUAUAUAAUCUCCCUGUUAGCUUUAUCUCUUCUUGUACAAACCGCUUAAACGAAAUUGACUUAGUAAUUCUGC